UUGCCGCCGCCGCCGCCGCCGCUGCUGCUGGACACAUACAGGAGGAAAGAAAACAAGAAAAGCAAAGGAGGAAAAAAAAAACCACAGAAAAAAACAACACUUAAGCCAAUCUGCACUUCUUGUUCCGACGAACAUGCUUGUAUGACCAAGUGACUGUUGUGGAUCUUUGUUUAAACCCGAUAAGGAACAAACAAACAAACAACAACAAAAAAGCAGUUAAGAAACUGUCAAAGUGGUUGCAAAGCGCAGAAGGAUACGACGGUAACGAUCACACGAACACACACUCUACCACAGUAAAAACCCAGAAUCAUGCUGCCUGAGUCUUUAAUCUCUCUCUCUUUUUCUCUGUGUUUCUCUUCCUCGCUCUAUCACUUUGUCCCUUCUCUUACUUUUCAUCCUUUCUUUGUCUCUCUCUCUGUAUUCGCCCCUUUCUUCUGUUUCCUUUCUUUGUCCAUUGAUUGUUUUUUUUUCUCUCUCUCUCGCCCUGUUUGUCGUCCUGCACACCAUCAUACACAACUGUAAUAAACAAAAACAAACAAAAAAAAUAUAUAAAUAGCCUUUUAUUCAAUACAUAACUACAUGUUGGCUUGGUAGGCUUAGUUGAAACUAGUUCCAUUCCGACAAAAAAGAAUAAUAGUAAAAACAAAAUAUGAGCUUCUUUAUGUAUUGCUUCUGCCGCUGUAGUGUCCUGGUCAGAUUUAAAGAUGAUAAGACUACAUAUAUCUGAAAUACUGUAUUUACAAAUGCAUACCAGGGCUGGUCUCAACAACAACAACAAAAAAAACAACAACAACACAACAACAGGGGGGGGAGGGUUUUCAACUCCGUCCACUGGGUGACUAAUCGAUAGCUGUCGGAGGGUUUUGAAGCUCCGGCUGCUGGUUUGAGUCGUUUCCAAAUGCUUGUUUCUUCGCUUAAAGUCUUCAUAGUUUUUUAAACUCGUAGCGUUCAGCAUCGCUAAAGCUCUCAGUUGCGCUGCUGCACGUCCUUCUGCAAAAAAAAACAACUAAAAAACUAAAAAAAAAAGAAAGCAGUGCUGUAAAGAGAGGUCUGGUGGACGCACAGCCUUAGAAAGCUUCCAAGAGACUUUUAUUUUUGCAAGUGUAUAGUUUUAAUUGUAUAUUUUUCUGAUGAAUGAUUGAAUGUAUUUGCUUUGAGGAGUUAAGUAAAUGUUGUGAGGUUUACUGUCUGAAUGUCUGAAGCGGAGAGAGUCGAGCACACUAGUGGGAAACUGCGAGGAGUCUUCUUAUCAGCCAACACUGAGAUCUGGCUGGUGAAACGGCAAAAAGCAGACAUUUUAAUUUUGAAACAACUGCUCGUGACCGCAGAAAUAAAAAGCCAUACGUUUACUUCUUUCCUGGAAGGGACCGAUUUCAGAAAAAAAUCUGACAGGCGACAAGAGGUUAGAUCAUUAAUAUCUAAAAACUGUGACACAUUAUCUGACAAAAUGGCUGCUUUCUUAAAAGUAGUUGUUAAAUAUUUCAUUCGUCCUUCACAGUCUUGAGCCCUUUACUUCGAAACCAGUAACAUUUUAGGAGAUGGAUCCCCUUUGUUUUUUAAAGGCCGGGUCACGCCAGCAUGUAAAAUAGCAAAACGCUGCGGAUAAAAUCGUUGGUGAGUUUACACGGUUUUGAUCUUCCUGGCUCUCCUUUUUCCCUCGAGCUAUCACGUCUUAGUAGCUUCCCGUUAGCGGCCGAGCUAACUAGCUUGAGAACUGACAGAACAACACAUUCUCACUCCCGACUCGUCACAUAUUGACGCUUGGUUAAGGCCCUUUAGCGUCGCUGUUAAGACAUUUAAGGCUCCGCGGUCAAGUUAGCAACGCUUAGCAACAACAAAUAUGCAACGUCCGCUAGCCAUUUUGAAACGGCACGUUAUUAAAGUUGUGAACGUUGCAGUUAGGUUUAGGCAACAAAACAACUUGGUUAAGGUUCAGAAAACAUCAUGGUUUAGGUUAAAAUAACUACGUAGGUCAGUUAACACGUAAGUUAGCUAACGUCACUUGCGUAACGUACGUAAUUUACGUUGACAUUUUGUUUCACACGGGACACGAUCCCCGCUCUCCCGGUUUAAAGUCCGGGUUCUGGCCCUCCAUCCACCUCCUUACUCAGGCCUGUUAAAUAUCAUAUACCUGCCUUUACUGUCAAAACCUGACGCUACAGGGCUUCCCCUCACUGCGUUGAACCAUGACGCUAAAGGGAUCCCCAGUGCGUUACAAACCGACGCCGCUGGGUCUUGAUCAUGCGUCCAUAUCAGGAGUGGGAACGGGUUGGACAGGAAGUAAGAGAGCUCAGAGACCCACUGUGACUGAAUAAGCUUCGAUGAUCUUUGGUGUUAUCGAGGGCUUGAAGCAGUGAAGGUCUGUGUCACAGUUUCAGAUGUGUUCACGCUACAGCAGAACUCAUUGGCUGACCUCCGCCGGCUCAGGUUUUGAUGCUGCAGGCUCCAUGUUGGAGAAAUAUCCAGUACGACUAGUGUGCACGAGUACCUCCUUUGUUUCAUGUAAAGUUGCUCUGUUUGCUCACUUUGAAACGUGUCUGUCGCGUGCGCCUGCUUUGCCCAAAAAAAAAAAACUUUCAGCGAUCGCCUGACAGGAUCAAUUUUCACGACUGGUUGACGGCGUUUCGGCUUCACAGUUUUCCCUUGACUCUGAUUGUACAGGUGGUCGGUGCCGUCUGCUUUUUCCAUGAACUUUGUGGUCGACCACCUGAUUUUCUUAGUUUUAAGUUUGAUAUCUUGCCUCCAAACGGCGAUUAAAGUAGAUUUUUAACCUUCAUUUACAACCUAUAAACUUCCCUUUCUGUCAAAACAACGCCAUUUUUGAUUGGUCUAUAGACUUUUCUGCCCCGUCAGCUCUUUUUCUUCCUUCUCGUUUCUUCACAUUUAUAGCUAUAAAUAUAAAUCAAAGCGAGGUUUUAUGGGGAAUGCUGACCCCUCUAAGAUUUGUACUUAAUGUACUACAUACUUGACUUAUUCCCAACUGUAACUACAGAGUUUGUGCUACAAACCGCUCUUGUCGGAUCCAUCCUCAGUUGUCAAGUAAACUUCAGGGGUCUUUAUCCGUCCUCAGUCUUUAAAUCGCACUUUGGCACUUGGCUCAAACGUGUCACAUAGGAAACGUGAACAAAAAUGUAGAAAUACCUGCCGUGAAAGGUGAAAGCUCUGAUUGUUUUUUUGAUUUAAAAAAAAAAAAAAAAAAAGUCACUUUUUAGGGCUCGAGUUAAUCAAAACAAAAGUAUUUUCUCCUCAGAUCACUUUGUUAACGGUUGAUUUAAACAAAAAAGAAAAACGUGUUUUGAGGCCGUCGUGUUGUAUUUAAAUGCAAACUUUCUGCAAUGCAAAUCCACAUGCUGUAGGUGCUGACAGGGUUCAAAUCUAAAUGGAUAACUGAUGUACAAUCUUUUGCAAAAUUACAAUCAUGGAUAAAAUCCCAAACCAAAAUAAUGAACCAGAAAUUCUUUUGGUUUCUUUGUUCUUGUGGUUAAACUAGACGGCCUGGGUUUGGCCAUAUUUUAAUCAAAAGAUGUUUUUUUUUGAGAGCUCUCUGAAGUCAGACAUGUUUCCUUUGUAGUUUUAAACGCUGACUGAUUUUAAAAACUAGCAGACUUUUCUACACGCCAACCGCUGCUCAUGAGGGGAGACUUUCACGGGAUAUUCGAGUUGUUAACUCUCUGAGCAGAGUAGCGUCUCGUCUUCUGCGGUUUUCCCCACUAGAGAGCAGAAAUACGAAUCACAGUUGAGCCACAAACCCAACCCGACUGCGAGGUGCGAGCAGGAGGAGAGUUUAUGAUUUCUUUUUGGGGAAACCAGGUGCACUAAAUGUCUUUCUGAGGGGAGUUGAGGCCAGCCCUGCUUCAUAACUGAGGUUCUGCUUCUUCUACUACUGCUACUAUCAAACAACCAGCCCUGGGCACAAAAACAAGCCUGAACACUGUUUCAAAUCCUCCCUCCAGUACCAGAGGUGCGUUUGAUUUUUUUUAAAUUCAUAUACCAGCAUUUUUAAAAGCCAAACCCAAAGUGGAGCACCCGGCUUGUUUCCGUUUAGUUCCCGACGUGACGAAGACACUUCUGUUUAUCACCUCGGGACCCAAAAAGAGGCUGCGAUUCCUCAGUUUGGGCACCGAGUUGAAAAGUGUUUUCUGACAAAAAUAGCCAUCGAUAUUUGUUUUUACGUUGAUAUGAAAAGUAUUCAAGCAAGUUUCUGUUGCCCAGGUCAGCAAAACAACCUGUUGAUGUCUGCUGUAUUUCAAUAAAACACAGCCUUUUUCAAAGGGUACACCUCUUCA